rnacentral:lncRNA from 1 species
CUAGACUAUAUAUAUAACUGGAUAGUUGUGUCCAAAUAAAAGACACUGAAGAUGAAGAGAAAAACAGAUUAUCCCAGUAACACAAAGUUGUGCAUAUAUGUACCCUCUUUUGGUUGUGAUUGAGUAGGUAUAAACUACCAUAAAGGGCAAGUCAUAAAGGCAAAGGGAAGGUCAUGCCUUUCUUCCAGGUUUUGUUAUGUUUAUCUAUUCUUCCCUUGGGAAAAUGGGCUAUUUAGAUUAAGUUCUUAUUUUUAAUUUAUCCACCAAUGUUGUUGUUAAUCGUUUUUGAAUGAAUUGUUUCUUAAUAUUUGCUUUAAUGGUUUGAUUUACCUUGUUGCUUUGUUGUUUGUAUAUGUAUGGGUUUGAGUUGAACUAAUACUUACUCGGUUUUCUUCGGGUAAAAUGGAAAGAGAAAACAAGAAAUCCAUGCACCAUUCUCGUUCAAGAGUUCCUAAAACAUUUGG